UACGUAGGGGGCAAGCGUUGUCCGGAAUCAUUGGGCGUAAAGAGCGUGUAGGCGGUCCGUUAAGUCGGCUGUGAAAGUCCAAGGCUCAACCUUGGGAUGCCGGUCGAUACUGCCGGACUAGAGUUCGGAAGAGGCGAGUGGAAUUCCCGGUGUAGCGGUGAAAUGCGCAGAUAUCAGGAGGAACACCGGUGGCGAAGACGGGUCUCUGGGCCGAUACUGACGCUGGAGGAGCGAAAGCGUGGGGAGCAAACAGG
rnacentral:rRNA from 1 species